rnacentral:rRNA from 1 species
AACGAACGCUGGCGGCAUGCCUAACACAUGCAAGUCGAACGAGACCUUCCGGUCUAGUUGCGCACGUCUGCGUAACGCGUGGUAACCUGCCCUUAGGUUCGGAAUACCUCCCCGAAAGGUAUCCUCAUACCGCAUAAUCUCUUCGCACCAAAGAUUUCUGGCGUUUGGGUGGGCCCUCGUUAGAUUCGCGGGUUGGUAGGGUAAAAGCAUCCCAAGGAGUCGUUCCAUAGCUGGUCUGAUAGGAGGAUAAGCUAAGAUGGGACUGAGACACGGACCAGAAUGGUACGGGAGGGAGGAGUGGGGAGUAUAGGACAAUGGGGGAAAGUGUGAUCAAGCAAUGCCGGGUGAGUGAGGAAGGGGUUAGGAUUGUAAAGCUGUUUUACACGGGAUGAGAAUGACAGUACCGGGAGAAUAAGCUCCGGCUAACUACGUG